UAAUUUUAUUAUAAGGGUGAAAAGGGUCAGAAUGACUUUAGACUGACUGGAAGUUAUUUAAAGCAGUUGGUGCCUCAGUUAUAUUUUAUUUUAACUUUUGAAAAUAAUUUGUUUGGAACCUUGAAGUUACCUACCAGUUAUAAAUAAAAUCUUAUUUUUGUUCAAUGAAA